rnacentral:misc_RNA from 1 species
UGGUUCUGGCAUCGAUGAAGAACGCAGCGAAAUGCGAUAAGUAAUGUGAAUUGCAGAAUUCAACGAAUCAUCGAAUCUUUGAACGCAUAUUGCGCCCAUUAGUAUUCUAGUGGGCAUGCCUGUUCGAGCGUCAUUUCAACCCUCAAGUUUUUAAUGACUUGGUGUUGGGGCUAUCUGUUGUGCAGUUGUCCUACAGGCCCUGAAAGACAUUGGCGAGCCCGCUGUAAACCCGAGCGUAGUAGAUUAUUCUUUUUCGCUUAGGGGCGUACAGUGGGUAUUUUUCAGCCGUUAAAUAUACUCUUUCAUUAUAAAGGUUGACCUCGGAUCAGGUAGGAAUACCCGCUGA